AACGAACGUUAGCGGCGCGCCUAACACAUGCAAGUCGCACGAGAAAGGGCUUCGGCCCCGGUAAAGUGGCGCACGGGUGAGUAACACGUGGGUAAUCUGCCCUCGGGCUGGGGAUAACAUUCCGAAAGGAGUGCUAAUACCGAAUAAGACCACGACCUCGAAAGAGGAUGCGGUCAAAGCUGGCCUCUAUACAUAAGCUAGCACCUGAGGAUGAGCCCGCGGCGCAUCAGCUAGUUGGUGAGGUAAUGGCUCACCAAGGCUAAGACGCGUAGCUGGUCUGAGAGGAUGAUCAGCCACACUGGAACUGAGACACGGUCCAGACUCCUACGGGAGGCAGCAGUGGGGAAUCUUGCGCAAUGGGCGAAAGCCUGACGCAGCGACGCCGCGUGAGUGAUGAAGGCC
rnacentral:rRNA from 1 species